GCCUGAGUGGCUCAGUUGGUUGAGCAUCUGACUUCAGCUCAGGUCAUGAUCUCAUGGUUCAUGAGUUCGAGCCCCAUGUCAGACU
rfam:Felis catus isolate Cinnamon breed Abyssinian chromosome C2, whole genome shotgun sequence.